UUGGAGGGCAAGUCUGGUGCCAGCAGCCGCGGUAAUUCCAGCUCCAAUAGCGUAUAUUAAAGUUGUUGCAGUUAAAAAGCUCGUAGUUGAAUUUCGGGGUCAGUAGGUUGGUCGUGCCACCGGUACGUACUGGUCUCACUGAUUCCUCCUUCCUGAUGAGCUGUAAUGCCAUUAAUUUGGUGUUGCAGGGAAUCUGGACUGUUACUUUGAAAAAAUUAGAGUGUUUAAAGCAGGCUAACGCUUGAAUACAUUAGCAUGGAAUAAUGAAAUAGGACGUUCGAUCCUAUUUUGUUGGUUUCUAGGAUUGACGUAAUGAUUAAUAGGGAUAGUUGGGGGCAUUAGUAUUCAAUUGUCAGAGGUGAAAUUCUUGGAUUUAUUGAAGACUAACUACUGCGAAAGCAUUUGCCAAGGAUGUUUUCAUUAAUCAAGAACGAAAGUUAGGGGAUCGAAGACGAUCAGAUACCGUCGUAGUCUUAACCAUAAACUAUGCCGACGAGGGAUCGGAUGAUGUUAAUUUUUUAAUGACUCAUUCGGCGCCUUACGGGAAAC
rnacentral:rRNA from 1 species